rnacentral:rRNA from 1 species
AGUCAACAUAACCAGAGGACGUGGAUAAACUCGGGAAACUGAGGCUAAACCGCGAUAGACCAAGAUACCUGGAAUGGUUUUUGAUCAAAAUCUAUAUGGCCUUUGGAUUGGACUGCGACCGAUCAGGCUGUUGGUGAGGUGAUGGCCCACCAAACCAGUAACCGGUACGGGCUCUGAGAGGAGGAGCCCGGAGAUGGGUACUGAGAAAAGGACCCAGGCCCUAUGGGGCGCAGCAGGCGCGAAACCUCUGCAAUAGGCGAAAGCCUGACAGGGUUAUUCUGAGUGACUUUCGCUAAGAAAGUCUUUUGACAUCUCUAAAAAUGGUGUAGAAUAAGGGGUGGGCAAGUCUGGUGUCAGCCGCCGCGGUAAUACCAGCACCCCGAGUGGUCGGGACGAUUAUUGGGCCUAAAGCAUCCGUAGCCGGUUUUACAAGUCCUCCGUUAAAUCCAACUGCUUAACAGAUGGGCCGCGGAGGAUACUAUAAGACUAGGAGGCAGGAGAGGCAAGCGGUACUCAGUGGGUAGGGGUAAAAUCCGUUGAUCCAUUGAAGACCACCAGUGGCGAAGGCGGCUUGCCAGAAUGCGCUCGACGGUGAGGGAUGAAAGCUGGGGG